rnacentral:rRNA from 1 species
AUGGACGCAUCCAUUCUCCUUGUAUAUAAGUGUACAUCCAUGAUGAAUAAAGGACACUUGAAUCAUUUUGCCUUGUCUCCCGUUCUACUCGAAACACGGUAUCAGCGGAUAGUCUCUACCGAUAGAGAGAAGAAGGCCAUUCACGGCGGUUACGCAAAGAGAACCACCGAAGGAUUGUCGUUCCCCUCUGCUUGCUCCUCGCUAUGGGCGUCGGGAUCCAUGGCGCCGAGGCAUCAGACAAUGGCAGCAACAACCACACUCGCGCGCUCGCUGCAGCCAGGCAGGGCGGAGAGAUGUAGCGCACAAGAAGAUAUUAGUCUAGAGAUGCCAUGCAAUGGUGCUAUUGCAAAUAGCCAUGGCGGUCUUCGACCCGAUGAACUACACGAGAGGAAAAUCAAGGGAACAAGGAAUGAAUCAGAGUCAUACCUUGAUCUCAUUGCUACAAUAACAAGGUGCCUCUGUCCGAUUUAG